rnacentral:rRNA from 1 species
UAGGGAAACUUACGCUAAUACCGCAUGCGCCCUUCGGGGAAAGCCGGGGACCUUCGGGCCUGGCGCGAUUGGAUGAGCCCACGUCGGAUUAGCUAGUUGGCGGGUAAAGGCCCACCAAGGCGACGAUCCGUAGCUGGUCUGAGAGGAUGAUCAGCCACACUGGAACUGAGACACGGUCCAGACUCCUACGGGAGGCAGCAGUAGGGAAUAUUGGACAAUGGGCGCAAGCCUGAUCCAGCCAUGCCGCGUGAGUGAAGAAGGCCCUCGGGUUGUAAAGCUCUUUUGUCCGGAAAGAAAAGCGCCGGGUUAAUACCCUGGUGUCCUGACGGUACCGGAAGAAUAAGCACCGGCUAACUUCGUG